AGUCGAGCGAGCGGAACUAACAGAUUUACUUCGGUAAUGACGUUAGGAAAGCGAGCGGCGGAUGGGUGAGUAACACGUGGGGAAUCUGCCCCAUAGUCUGGGAUACCACUUGGAAACAGGUGCUAAUACCGGAUAAGAAAGCAGAUCGCAUGAUCAGCUUUUAAAAGGCGGCGUAAGCUGUCGCUAUGGGAUGGCCCCGCGGUGCAUUAGCUAGUUGGUAAGGUAAAGGCUUACCAAGGCGAUGAUGCAUAGCCGAGUUGAGAGACUGAUCGGCCACAUUGGGACUGAGACACGGCCCAAACUCCUACGGGAGGCAGCAGUAGGGAAUCUUCCACAAUGGACGCAAGUCUGAUGGAGCAACGCCGCGUGAGUGAAGAAGGUUUUCGGAUCGUAAAGCUCUGUUGUUGGUGAAGAAGGAUAGAGGUAGUAACUGGCCUUUAUUUGACGGUAAUCAACCAGAAAGUCACGGCUAACUACGUGCCAGCAGCCGCGGUAAUACGUAGGUGGCAAGCGUUGUCCGGAUUUAUUGGGCGUAAAGCGAGCGCAGGCGGAAGAAUAAGUCUGAUGUGAAAGCCCUCGGCUUAACCGAGGAACUGCAUCGGAAACUGUUUUUCUUGAGUGCAGAAGAGGAGAGUGGAACUCCAUGUGUAGCGGUGGAAUGCGUAGAUAUAUGGAAGAACACCAGUGGCGAAGGCGGCUCUCUGGUCUGCAACUGACGCUGAGGCUCGAAAGCAUGGGUAGCGAACAGGAUUAGAUACCCUGGUAGUCCAUGCCGUANACGAUGAGUGCUAAGUGUUGGGAGGUUUCCGCCUCUCAGUGCUGCAGCUAACGCAUUAAGCAC
rnacentral:rRNA from 1 species